rnacentral:lncRNA from 1 species
CUCUUCUGCUACUAUACACCAUGUCCUAGUUAUUCCUACUGAGGGCUGUUCUCUGCUACUAUACACUAUGUCCUAGUUAUUCCUACUGAGGGCUGUUUCUGCUGUUUAUACAUCAUGUCCUAGUUAUUCCUUCUGAGGGCUAUUCUGUCUGCUGUUAUACCCAUGUCCUAGUAUUCCUACUGAGGGCUGUUCGGCUAUUAUACACCAUGUCCUAGUUAUUCCUACGGAGGCUGUUCUGCUUAUACACCAUGUCCUAGUUAUUCCUAUGAGGGCUGUUCUGUCUGCUAUUAUACACCAUGUCCUAGUUAUUCCUACUGAGGGCUGUUCUCUCUGCUACUAUACACCAUGUCCUAGUUAUUCCUACUGAGGGCUUUCUCGCUACUAUACACAUGUCCUAGUUAUCCUACUGAGGGCUGUUCUGCUGUUAUACAUUAUGUCCUAGUUAUUCCUACUGAGGGCUGUUUUCUGCGAUUAUACACCAUGUCCUAGUUUAUUCCUACUGAGGGCUGUUCUGUCUGCUGUUAUACACCCAUGUCCUAGUUAUUCCUUAGGAGGGAUAGUCUGUCUGCUGUUAUACACCAUGUCCUAGUUAUUCCUACG